UACCAGCACCCCGAGUGGGCGGGACGUUUAUUGGGCCUAAAGCAUCCGUAGCCGGUUCUACAAGUCUUCCGUUAAAUCCACCUGCUUAACAGAUGGGCUGCGGAAGAUACUAUGGAGCUAGGAGGCGGGAGAGGCAAGCGGUACUCGAUGGGUAGGGGUAAAAUCCGUUGAUCCAUUGAAGACCACCAGUGGCGAAGGCGGCUUGCCAGAACGCGCUCGACGGUGAGGGAUGAAAGCUGGGGGAGCAAACCGG
rnacentral:rRNA from 1 species